rnacentral:rRNA from 1 species
GACGUAGGGGGCGAGCGUUGUCCGGAUUUAUUGGGCGUAAAGCGUGCGUAGGCGGCUGCGCAAGUCGGGUGUGAAACCCCGGGGCUCAACCCCGGAACUGCAUCCGAUACUGCGUGGCUAGAGGUAGGUAGGGGAGAUCGGAAUUCCUGGUGUAGCGGUGAAAUGCGCAGAUAUCGAGAGGAACACCGGUGGCGAAGGCGGCGACCUGGACGAUGACUGACGCUGAGACGCGAAAGCGUGGGGAGCAAACAGG